UACAGAGGGGGCAAGCGUUGUUCGGAAUUACUGGGCGUAAAGGGCGCGUAGGUGGCCUUCUAAGUUGAACGUGAAAUCCCUGGGCUCAACCCAGGAACUGCGUCCAAGACUGGGAGGCUUGAAUCCGGGAGAGGGAUGCGGAAUUCCAGGUGUAGCGGUGAAAUGCGUAGAUAUCAAGAGGAACACCUGCGGCGAAGGCGGGUUGCUGGGCCGACACUGACGCUGAGACGCGAAAGCCAGGGGAGCGAACGGG
rnacentral:rRNA from 1 species